UAAAAGAAACCUUAGAUCUCUGCCUUUUCCGUUUCGGGUCUUUUUCUUGCUUCAAUCUGCCUUUUUUUGUAUUCUAAGUAGUAUUACAACUGAAAAAUGAAAGGAAAAAAAAAAAAUCCCCAGUUCCCAUCACCGAUUUCGGCUUUUAAAGCCAAUAUAUUUGUUUUGUUCCUUUUGUUUAUUGUUUUCCCCAUCAUUUGCAUGCUUUCCUUGCUGUGGUGUCUGUUCUUGUUGCAGGUGGUGGGCACGGUGGAGCAGGUGGGAGUGUCAGACGCGUGGGCGUCGUGGUGGCCAAGGCUGAGGCGUGCGAGCGUGAGGGGGACAGACGAGGCUGAGCGGCGCGCCCUAGGCAUGCUGCGCCUAGGGUUUUCUGCUGCAAACAUUUGUUUUUUUUAUUUGGGCUAGGGUUUCUGCUGUUGGGCUAGGUAGUGGGUUGGUUUGUUAUUUUGUAAUUGGACUGUUGUUUAUUGUUUUAAUAUUCGGGCCUGGGCAUAAAAUUGGGCCUUAC
rnacentral:lncRNA from 1 species